ensembl:lncRNA
UUUCUUCAACCUAGGCUUCUUCCAGAGGAGGAGUGCUGUAUGGUCAGAGAUAUUCACCAGCUAGGAAACUACAGAUUUUCAGGGAACUGGUCUCUUAUUUGCAAAUCAUAAAUCUAGACUCCUCUUCAUGCAUUUUUUUUCUUUCACUUUGAACUGUGUGCAAGAGUGUGUUCACAAAUGUUCAGGAAAUACAAACCCAACUCACUGUGGAUCAGAUGUUAAGAUCCUCAAAAGAUUCCAGAGGAGGGCACUAAGGCUGAUAAAUGGUGCUGGAGGGCAUGUCCUGUGAGGAGAGGCUGAGGAUGCAUGCAUUGCCCAGCCUGGAGAAGAGGAGGCCAAGAGAUGCCCUCGCUGCUCUCUGAGGAGGGAAGGCAGGGAAGGUGCUGGUCUCUAGGGUGGGAAUUACAAAUCUGUGCCAGGAGGGAUUUAAACUGGACAUUAGGAAACAUUUAUUUACCAUGAUGGUGGUCAAACACUGAAAUAGGUUUCCUACUGAAGUAGUUGAUACCCCAUGCCUGUCAGUGCUCAAGAGGUAUUUGGAUUUAUAUGCUUUAUUUAUAUGCUUUAGUCUUUUGUUAGCUCAAAAGCUGUCAGGCAGUUGGGCUGGCUGAUCACUGAAGGUUCCUUCCAACAAAGCUCUUGUAUUCUAAACCUAAAAUGGUAUAACUUAUCCAUAGCAGAUGCUAACUAAGCAUGAUUUGAGAAAAGAGGCCUUUCCUUUUUUUUUUUUUAUGUUUUUCUUGCUCUUUUUCUCUUAGACUUGUGUAUCAUUCUGAGUGCAUGUCAGACUACCAGAGGUUCCUAAUAGCUGCCUCGCUCAAGCAGAUUUAUAAAAAGUCAGCUUAUGCUCUUCUAAACAAAACUUGUAGAAAUAUGGGCUUGUCAUUGGCUAAGAAAAUAAUUCUCACUCAAUUCUUUCAACUUUUGAUGUGUUAGAGGCUUUACAUCUAAACUUCUAAUUUUCUGUACUUACUGUAAAAUUUUACACUUUGAGAUGCAUCUUUCUUGCUAGAAAAUUAAAUUGAAGAUAUGAAACUGUUAUUAUAGUGCUGUAUAGGAAUGCUAAUAACAUGAAGCAUGCAAUUCUUAGGGGAAAAAUUCAAAUAUAGUAGGUGAUUAAGGUGGUAUUACUGGCUGGCAAAUGAAAAAUUACUGCAAACUGAACAGCAGGACGUAAGGACAUUGUGGUGAAUUAUAAACACAUUUGGCACUUGGGUGAAUUUCUUUCUAUGGCACUGUUAUCUAAUUUCAAACACAGUAAUUAAAAUUGGACAAACUU